AGUGAACGCUGGCGGUAGGCCUAACACAUGCAAGUCGAACGGCAGCACAGUAAGAGCUUGCUCUUACGGGUGGCGAGUGGCGGACGGGUGAGGAAUACAUCGGAAUCUACUUUUUCGUGGGGGAUAACGUAGGGAAACUUACGCUAAUACCGCAUACGACCUACGGGUGAAAGCAGGGGAUCUUCGGACCUUGCGCGAUUGAAUGAGCCGAUGUCGGAUUAGCUAGUUGGCGGGGUAAAGGCCCACCAAGGCGACGAUCCGUAGCUGGUCUGAGAGGAUGAUCAGCCACACUGGAACUGAGACACGGUCCAGACUCCUACGGGAGGCAGCAGUGGGGAAUAUUGGGCAAUGGGCGCAAGCCUGAUCCAGCCAUACCGCGUGGGUGAAGAAGGCCUUCGGGUUGUAAAGCCCUUUUGUUGGGAAAGAAAAGCGGCAGGUUAAUACCCCGCUGUUCUGACGGUACCCAAAGAAUAAGCACCGGCUAACUUCGUG
rnacentral:rRNA from 1 species